CAAAUCGGACAAUUGCGCGAUGAAAGACUCGUGAGGAAGGUCCAUGCCCGUCCGAUCUGCGAUGAUUGGAGUUUUUGUACCGAGCCUAAUAAGCGAAGGUGGGUGGCAUUCGUGUUAUCCGACGGCUGGAAAAAGCGCUAAACUUCGGCAUGCGUGAUUAUCCUAUAAAAGUGCUAUAGCGACGAAGAACCGGGAAACUGGGGAAGUGAGACGACGUAAACCCUGCAAGCGGGCAACCCAAACUUUUGGUAGGGGCGGUCAAUUUAGCUAACUGAAGUAAAAAUUGACACUGAUAUCGCAAAAUAUCGGUAGAUAGAUGAUUGUCGAAGAAUACGGCUGCCAACCGUAUUUGGAACAUAACAUGGCCUAUAGAU
rnacentral:RNase_P_RNA from 2 species